rnacentral:pre_miRNA from 1 species
AUGAUAGCAUACCCGUUUGGUGAAAUACUCUGAUAAUUAUUUGUUAUUUAAUUACUUUUAGGUAACGGGGUGUUACAUCA